CAAAUAUAGCGUGAGGUAGCACUUGGAGGUCCUUCUUAAACAGGCAGUACAGUAUGAAGAAUACACAAUAUGCAACCUGGACUGCAGACCAACUGGACAUUUCCAUUGUAUCAGUUGUUCAGACACUGAUAAGGAGGCAAGAUAUAUUAAAUUACCUUUCGGUCUGCCAUCAAAAGCAGGCUCAGUCCCAACAAUGCUCCAUCACUGGAACCAAUCCCUUCCACAACCCACAGCACACCCUCAUUGCAGUUGCAGGCACCCUGUACAAGAGGUCACUUCUGUUCCUCUUAAGGCCACACAUUUACAUUAGAGAACAACUGUAAGUGUGAUGUGCCCGCAUUGCAAAAUUAUUUUAAACAGAAAAAACCUUCAAUGACAAAUCCAGAGAAAACACAUGGACACAAGAUUGAAAGACAUAACAGUUAUGUUAAAUCUCCCCAGCCAGUGUCUUGAUGACAUACAUGGCAUAUUUGCUGUUGGCAAAUAAUUUUAUGGCCCAUGUGUGCCACUUCAAUUACAGAAAAAAACUUGGGGCAUGAAUCAGCAGGUUGUGUGUGAAUCAGGUGACUGUUGGCAAAACCAACAUUUGCUAUUAGGAGUGGUUUGAGGACAUUCCAAUGCAACCAUGUGAGAUCUUUGGACUACUGCACCUCUGAAUAAGCAUGUUUUGAAUAAGGUUCUGACUGAAAUGCUCCAAAGAAAGUGGUUUGGUGAAAACAGAAAACAAGAGUGCCUAACAGGGACACUAUUUUUCAUGAAAACAGGGUCACAGUCCAUCUUUUUUUAUUUUGUUAUGUAUAUAAAAUGUUCAAUAAAGUUUUCCACUUUGAA